GGGCAAAGUGUUAUCUGUCUUUAUUACAAGGACACAUAUUCAAGCUUUUGGUUUUAACUAUCUACAGGUCCAGGAUCCAGAUAAUUCAACACAAACCAUCUAUGAUUCGUGGGUAGGAUCAAGCAACUCUGGAGUGAUUGGAAGAUUAGGGGACCUGACAUCAGAUUACGCAGCAUUUGUGCAACAUGUUGGUGUUCCAGCAGCUGACAUGCGUUUCGGAGGAGGCUAUCCAGUCUAUCACUCU